rnacentral:rRNA from 1 species
CACGUAGGAGGCGAGCGUUGUCCGGAAUCAUUGGGCGUAAAGAGCGCGCAGGCGGCUUGGCAAGUCGGGUGUGAAAUCCCGGGGCUCAACCCCGUGACUGCAUCCGAUACUGUCAGGCUAGAGGUAGGUAGGGGAGAUCGGAAUUCCUGGUGUAGCGGUGAAAUGCGCAGAUAUCAGGAGGAACACCGGUGGCGAAGGCGGAUCUCUGGGCAGUAACUGACGCUGAGGAGCGAAAGCGUGGGGAGCGAACAGG